rnacentral:rRNA from 1 species
UACAGAGGUCUCAAGCGUUGUUCGGAUUCAUUGGGCGUAAAGGGCGCGUAGGCUGCGGGGCAAGUCGGGUGUGAAAUCUCAGAGCUCAACUCUGAAACUGCACUCGAUACUGCUUUGCUCGAGGACUGGAGAGGAGAUUGGAUUUCACGGUGUAGCAGUGAAAUGCGUAGAUAUCGUGAGGAAGACCAGUGGCGAAGGCGGAUCUCUGGACAGUUCCUGACGCUGAGGCGCGAAGGCCAGGGGAGCAAACGGG